rnacentral:rRNA from 1 species
GAGUUUGAUCCUGGCUCAGGACGAACGCUGGCGGCGUGCUUAACACAUGCAAGUCGAACGAGAAUCUGUGGAUCGAGGAUUCGUCCAAGUGAAGCAGAGGACAGUGGCGGACGGGUGAGUAACGCGUGAGGAACCUGCCUUUCAGAGGGGGACAACAGUUGGAAACGACUGCUAAUACCGCAUGAUACAUUUGGGUGGCAUCAUCUGAAUGUCAAAGAUUUAUCGCUGAAAGAUGGCCUCGCGUCUGAUUAGCUGGUUGGUGAGGUAACGGCCCACCAAGGCGACGAUCAGUAGCCGGACUGAGAGGUUGACCGGCCACAUUGGGACUGAGAUACGGCCCAGACUCCUACGGGAGGCAGCAGUGGGGAAUAUUGGGCAAUGGGCGCAAGCCUGACCCAGCAACGCCGCGUGAAGGAAGAAGGCUUUCGGGUUGUAAACUUCUUUUAAGAGGGAAGAGCAGAAGACUGUACCUCUAGAAUAAGCCACGGCUAACUACGUGCCAGCAGCCGCGGUAAUACGUAGGUGGCAAGCGUUGUCCGGAUUUACUGGGUGUAAAGGGCGUGCAGCCGGGAAUGCAAGUCAGAUGUGAAAUCCAUGGGCUUAACCCAUGAACUGCAUUUGAAACUGUAUUUCUUGAGUACUGGAGAGGCAAUCGGAAUUCCUAGUGUAGCGGUGAAAUGCGUAGA